GGCCCACCAGUUUACUACCUAGUGUGUAUGGCCCACCAGUUUACUACCUAGUGUGUAUGGCCCACCAGUUUACUACCUAGUGUGUAUGGCCCACCAGUUUACUACCUAGUGUGUAUGGCCCAGUAGUAAAAAACUAAAUAGGUACUACCUAGUGUGUAUGGCCCAGUAGUAAAAAACUAAAUAGGUACUACCUUGAUCAGGUCUGUUGCUCAUGUCUGAUGAUCAAAUGUCUGUUUCACCAGUUCACCCUAAAUGGUUGGUUGUGUAUUUGUUAAAUACAAAACCUGUGUACUUUAUUCUUUGUACAUGUUUGAGAAUUUUAUUUACUUAAUUUAUUUGUCACUUUACUAAACUUAAAUUCCUAGUGAGUAGGAAUGGGAUAAAAUGUAGGACACAAAUUGUAUGAAAUGAAAUGUCUUUGAAUUGUUGUGAAGAGAAUGUGGCUUCUGUAGUGCAUCCAAAUAAUAUAUCCUUUCUCCUGAAGUGUACACUCAUUCACUACUACAAAUCUAAAAGCAUCGGAUUGGUGGAGGCAUGGGGCAGGAGUUUCCACUAUAUUUCUUAUAGCAGUCAUUUCCUUUCAAUUCAGGGAAUUGAAGUGAACCUAUGUACACUUUUGGAGGAAGGAGAGAAUUGGAACAUCUCCUGUGUCCUUCAUGUCUUGUGUGUGAGACCUAGCCAAAUAACAUUUGUGCUGCUACUUAUAUUGUUGUUGUCCAUUGUUUUCUGACAUAUGUGCAUGUAUUUCAAUUUAACAAAAUGGAGGGACUUAUUAUUAAAAGAAAAUAAAUCAGCAAGACAUGAAGCACAA